GAUGAACAGGAAGAUCGCCUCCUAGAAGUCCCUCUCCGUCAUCCUCUUACGCGAGCCUACCAAGGCUGUCCUCAACGAGCACGAAUCUUCCCACAAGGAUCCUCUCACGGUGUAAAGCAGGUCCCCUCAACCAUGAAUCCAUGAGUCAGUCCAAGGUCGGGAGAGUCGGUGCUCAUCACCCAGAUUCCUUUGCUUGUUAUAUAGUAUGAGCCACCAAGGUUUGCAAAGAGGAGUUGGGAUUCCCAAGAAACCUUGACGGUUUGAGGGCCAGCCACGCCAUGGCAGAAACUAGAGCUCAG